AUCCAAAUGACGAGUCCUAGAUAGGACGAAACGUAUGUUAUGGAU
rfam:Schistosoma margrebowiei strain Zambia genome assembly, scaffold: SMRZ_scaffold0000012